CCCUAGCCCUGAUAGAAGUGGUAUCCUUUUUUGGCUUUUCUGCCAAAAAAGAUACAAACGGAUAGCAGGUUAAGCU
rnacentral:sRNA from 1 species